UAACCUGCCCAAGAGAUCGGGAUAACACCUGGAAACAGAUGCUAAUACCGGAUAACAACAGAUGAUGCCUAUCAACUGUUUAAAAGAUGGUUCUGCUAUCACUCUUGGAUGGACCUGCGGUGCAUUAGCUAGUUGGUAGGGUAACGGCCUACCAAGGCGAUGAUGCAUAGCCGAGUUGAGAGACUGAUCGGCCACAUUGGGACCGAGACACGGCCCAAACUCCUACGGGAGGCAGCAGGG
rnacentral:rRNA from 1 species